rnacentral:ncRNA from 1 species
UAAUCGGCAAAGCUACCAAAAGGUGGUGACGCAAAGCUAUAGGGUCUAAGGGAUAACUCCUAUGACAGCCAGUUGCCAA